AGUGAACGCUGGCGGUAGGCCUAACACAUGCAAGUCGAACGGCAGCACAGUAAUAGCUUGCUAUUACGGGUGGCGAGUGGCGAGCGGGUGGGGAAUACAUCGGAAUCUACUUUUUCGUGGGGUAUAACGUAGGGAAACUUACGCUAAUACCGCAUACUACCUACGGGUGAAAGCAGGGGAUCUUCGGACCUUGCGCGAUUGAAUGAGCCGAUGUCGGAUUAGCGAGUUGGCGGGGUAAAGGCCCACCAAGGCGACGAUCCGUAGCUGGUGUGAGAGGAUGAUGAGCCACACUGGAACUGAGACACGGUACAGACUCUUACGGGCGGCACAAGUGGGGAAUAUUGGAAAAUGGGGGCAAGAUUGCUCCAGCCAUACCGGGUGGGUGCAGCAGGCCUUUGGGUUGUAAAGCCCUUUUGUUGGGAAAGAAAAGUAGCAGGUUAAUACCCCGCUGUUCUGACGGUACCCAAAGAAUAAGCACCGGCUAACUUCGUG
rnacentral:rRNA from 1 species